rnacentral:rRNA from 1 species
GACGUAGGGGGCAAGCGUUGUUCGGAAUUAUUGGGCGUAAAGCGCUCGUAGGCGGGACUGUAAGUCCGUGUUGAAAGACCUCGGCUCAACUGAGGGACCGGCGCGGAUACUAUAGUUCUUGAGGCAAUCAGAGGGUGAUGGAAUUCCCGGUGUAGCGGUGAAAUGCGUAGAUAUCGGAAGGAACACCAGUGGCGAAAGCGGCUUCCUGGUCAAGCACCGACGUUCAGGCACGAAAGCGUGGGGAGCAAACAGG